GACGAACCGUACGAACGUUAUUCGGAAUCACUGGGCUUAAAGGGUGCGUAGGCGGUCCAGAAAGUUGGGUGUGAAAGCCCUCGGCUUAACCGAGGAAUUGCGCCCAAAACUACUGGACUUGAGGGAGACAGAGGUGAGCGGAACUUAGGGUGGAGCGGUGAAAUGCGUUGAUAUCCUAAGGAACACCAGGAGCGAAAGCGGCUCACUGGGUCUCUUCUGACGCUGAGGCACGAAAGCUAGGGGAGCGAACGGG
rnacentral:rRNA from 1 species